UGCUAUGAUGUCGUAAUUUGCGUCUUACUCCACAUCAAGCUACAGUUGCCUGCUAUUAUUAUGCUGAUGUGGAUGACUGACGAACAUCAGCGUUCUGAGCA
rfam:Xenopus laevis strain J chromosome 3S, whole genome shotgun sequence.